rnacentral:rRNA from 1 species
AUUGAACGCUGGCGGCAUGCCUUACACAUGCAAGUCGAACGGUAACAGGUCUUCGGAUGCUGACGAGUGGCGAACGGGUGAGUAAUACAUCGGAACGUGCCUAGUAGUGGGGGAUAACUACUCGAAAGAGUGGCUAAUACCGCAUGAGAUCUACGGAUGAAAGCAGGGGAUCACAAGACCUUGUGCUACUAGAGCGGCCGAUGGCAGAUUAGGUAGUUGGUGGGAUAAAAGCUUACCAAGCCGAUGAUCUGUUGCUGGUCUGAGAGGACGAUCAGCCACACUGGGACUGAGACACGGCCCAGACUCCUACGGGAGGCAGCAGUGGGGAAUUUUGGACAAUGGGCGCAAGCCUGAUCCAGCAAUGCCGCGUGCAGGAUGAAGGCCUUCGGGUUGUAAACUGCUUUUGUACGGAACGAAAAGCCCUGGGUUAAUACCCUGGGGUCAUGACGGUACCGUAAGAAUAAGCACCGGCUAACUACGUGCCAGCAGCCGCAGUAAAAC